GGAGUCCAUCUUUUAUGCUCUUCCAUUGACUUAUCUCCCUUGGGUAAGAUCUCAAAUAUGUCAGCUCCCAGUGAUGGUUUGGCAGACAAAUGUUUACCGUGAAGUUUGUGACUUUAAUAAUCUAGGAUGAGCAUGUGGGCUAUCCCAGCCUUAUACAUCUACAUAUUACAAACUAUUUAAGAUAUCUGAAUGCACUAAAGACCAAAAUAGCAUUUCCAAAAAAAAUAAUUACUGCCAAGAAAUUUGACAAUCAUGACAAUAAUUUAGUGAAUAAACAUGAUAAAUAUUGAUUGGAACAAUAAGUCCAUGAACAGCAAAAAGUGUUUUUAGAUUUCAACGAGCAAAACAAAAGUAUUCUAAAUCAUUCUUCGUAAAAAAAAAAGUGAGCGAGUGGAACCACCUUGCUCGCACCAAAAUUGAGAUUGAGAGUGUCAAAACUGCUCUGGCGCACCAUCAAUAAAUCAACGACACUCUCUCUACCGUGGUAUUGAAACCAGCAUUGGUAACUAAACAUAUUCAUACAGAUACAGACUACCAUUCAUCUACAUUUAGGAAGUCUGAAUAAUACUGAAAACUAUGGUGUAGAAUUUCCAACAGGACUCCUGAUUUUAUAUAUGACAAGGAGUGGUUUAUUUUCCCAUGAUUGUUACAUCAUCUUGUCUUGGAAUAUGCUCGAAGUACAGGGACUUUUAUGGAAUUCAUUGACAUGAUAGUCAAGCAAGAUGUCAACAUCUCGUCCAACCCUCUUCCAGCAAAGCCAAAGCUGACCAAGGAUCUUCACCCUUUCAAAUCAGGCUGUAUACAGGACGAGUUAUUCCAGUAGGAACAGGGCUAUAUAUAUGCAAGCAAUGCUCAAUUAAGAUGAUUUUUUGUAAAAGUGCCAAUAGCCAGGUCAAACUAAAUACAUGUAUAGAAGAAGAUAUUGAUCUAGACUCGCAGCUAACCUUUCUGUCAGUGUCAACAACAACUGAACUUUUACAGCAGUCAACAUCAGAUUGGGAGACUGAUAAUGCUUCUAACAGAAACAAUUUCAACCAACCAAACAAGCAACAGAAACUUUCCAACUUUAAAACAUCAGUUAAAUCUUCCAUGGGAUGAUGUCUCAAAAAAUAACAGUUCAUCAUUUAUGGAGAUUUUAAUGUUAUGGUUUUUCUUUUACAAGAAAGUUAAUGUACACUUCUUUUAUAGUAAAACCUAUAGCCGUUCAAGUAUAAAAAGACACAUUCAACUUUAUUGAAAUUUGAAGAUUCAUAUGACUUAUUUUAAUUCUGUUAUCUCCGAGGAUUUGAUGUAGAGCAUUAUAGGUACAGUAAUCUUAACAGCUAUCCAAUUUCAUUCAAAAUUCUUUAUAAAUUUUGCACUGGUAUAUAUAGACUAAGUAAUUUGUUUUUCGUCUAGUUAUGGGAUUUUUUUAGAAGCAUUUAUGAUUUUCAUGUUUGUAUUGACCACAUUGCAGCAACAUAGAUAUAGGUACCUGGCAAAUCUUGCCUUGUUAGCAUACUAGGCUCAAAGGGUCAUAAAAAAAUUUCCAUCACUAAGUGUCUGUUAAAAUCAUCUGUUUACAGUUUUCACUUUUAAACCGUCAUCUUAAUAACUUUAGAAGAAG